AUGUGGAUGAUGCUUCAAAGGGGAGGCUACAGAGAGCAUCGUUCGCUUCUUGGUAAUCUGCAGGACUCUACUGCGGUCAUGGCUUUUUUUAGAAAACCAAAUCUGCACCAUGCCAAUAUGAUUCUUGGUGAGCAUGCUUUCGACAUGCCUCACCCUCUCAGGUUUUUAUAUUCCUGCUCAAGCCAGCUUGUGGGUUUGCAUAUCCUAUAUUCAGAGCUUGUGCAUGGCAAUUCACUUAUAAAUUUCUUUGAUUUUUUUGCUGGGUUUAAUGUAGUAUCUACCACAUGUUUACAUGAUGACUCCUUUUAUCCUUGA
rnacentral:rRNA from 1 species